CUUUCUGACUGUUCUUUUUCCCUUCUUGUCUCAUGAUGGUGAAGGAAAAGUAUAUAGUCUUUAUUUUUAAAGUUGAUUAGUUUUAGUCUUAUUGCCUUCAGGUGAAAGCAAAACAUUUUCAGUAUGCAUAUAUAGGGCAAUACCUUAUAAAUUUGAAGCCAGCAAACAUUGCAGUUAUUUUUGAAGUUGAUUGGUCGUAGUUCUUAUUGCGUUUGGGUAAUAGGAAAUCAUUUUUGGUACAUCCAUUUGCAUAGGGGCAACACCAACAAGAAAUGCAUAGGGAAAUACCUUAUAAAUGCAAAAUCUGCAAAAUAUGAAAGGGGCCAUUACUACUACUACAACAGCAGCAGCAGCAGCACAAACCUUAAUCCAUUCUGUUGGAGAAGAUAGAUAAAAGAAAAGGAAGAUUGAUUUAAAGCUAUAGACAAGUGGAUAAGAAGAUAAGAUUGGUAUGAGAAAAGAUCAGAACAAUUAAAACUAAGAUGAUAAAGGGAAGAAAGGAUGAAGCAGAUCUCAAAAACAGAUUAGGGAAUCCAAGUUCAAAUUCCUUCAAAUUUGUAAAGUAGUAUGUUCAAAUUUGUUGUAAUCUAUUUCUGUAAUUUAUGAGAGUUUUUAGGAUAUUUUUGUAUAUAUAAUUCACCAUUCGGAUCAAUGGAAAGCAGAGAGGAACAUUCAUAGUUCUCCUAUUCAUGGUAUCGGAACCAUGUUCUUGUGGCAGAUGUUUCCUUCUUACCUGCUGAAUGUAGAAUUCCUUAAGUCCACAACAUGGCUGAAACUCAAUCACCCAGUGAGACGUCUACUACCAUCCCUCUUCCAACAAAGAAUACACAAGUUCCAGUCAUUCCAACAGCUCUCGACAGUCACUCCUGUUAUGACCCUGGGGAUAGAAUUGUAAUAAGGGAAACUAUUGUAACUGUGGUAACAAGCUAGUGGUUAGAUAGUUAGAACAACCUUUACCAACCUUGGCUGGUAGUUAGCCUUAAUUGAAAGAAGUGCCUUUAAAGAAGGUUGUUGUAGAAGGAGAAGACAUCAUUGAGAAUAAUCAGAAUUCGUUUUCUCUCUCAUUCGUCCAAUUCUUCUCUAUCUCUCUCGUUCUCUUCUCUUUCCGUCUCUCAUUCUCUUUCUUCCUAAGAUUUCCAUCUUUCUUUUAGAAUUCUGUCAAUUGCUUAGCUCUUAAUUGAAGGGCUUGACAAGUGGUAUAAGAGCCGGUGAUAUUCGGCGGAUUCCGAGCGCAGUUGAAGGCGAUGGUUGACGGGUGUAAUUGAAGGCGGAGAAUUUCAGCAAAAAUUGAUCGGAAUUGGGUUGUGCAAUUGAAGGUGGUGGCUGAUUGUCAAUCGGGAGGGGGUCGCGCAAUUGAAGUCAGAAGUGGCGAGCAGAAGCUAGUACGACACGAUCAAGAACCAAGAAAAUUUGAGAUUGUGAAUUCUGACCAUUGACGUUUUGCACAGUUAGUCGGUGACGGACAAGGCGAAUCAUGGCUAAAGGGACACGUUUGAAGCAGCUCGAGGCGCAUAUGGAGGCUUUGGAGUCAAGUGUGGCGCGUACGCAGAAGGAUGAGGCGGCCCAUCGGAGGGAUAUGGUGGCCAUUCGGGAGGGUAUGGCGGCCCAUUGGGAGGACAUGGCAGCCCUUAAGGAUAGCAUAAAGGAGCUGGAGAGGGGCCAAGAAAGGGCAGACUUCUACGACCAGAAGAUCAACAACAUGUUUAACAUGCUGUCCGCCUUACUGCAAUUCCGAUUGUCAGAAGAGUUCCCUCCAAGAUCAGGGUCGGAAGUGCUAUUUGACAAAGAGGGACUUUUGCCUAGGCUGGAGGGGCUGAGGAUGGUGGAAGAUCGGGUUGCAUGGGAACGUGAAACUCACAGAGAUGGGAUCUUGCCUAGGUCGGAGGGGUUGCGGAUGGCUAAUGAUUGGAUUGCAUGGGAACGAGAAGCCAAUGGCAAGAGUCUAGCUUAUUUGAGCGGUGUCCAUACCCCUAUACCACGAUUGGAAAUUCCAAUCUUUGAAGGGGUUGCCCCUCCCCCCUCCCAUUUUUUUGCCCGUUCCUUUUUUUUCCCUGUGCUGUGCUUGUGGCUGUUUGGUGGUCCCUUUCGUCCAGGCCUCCCCCCCCCCCCUAGUUCAAGGGUUCUGUGGUGGUUUCGGUCUGGCUUGUUUCCUUUUGUCGUGGUGACUUCCAUCUUGGUACCAUGGAAUUUGGCAGUGUGCUCCUGCACCAAAUUUUAUUGUGGAAUGGGGUUGUUAUUGGUGGCAGAAGGAUCGAGUCUAGUUCCUUCUCCCCAUGGGUUUUUCAUCUCCCCCUCUCCUGCCUCUUCCAUCUCCCCAAUUGUCAGUAUCCCCUUCCUAUUAUGGGCAAUUAUGGGGUUGUGUGGUUUUGGUCUGGCCUAUUUCCUUCUGCCGUGAUGACUUCCAUUCUAGUACUGUGGAAUUUGGCAGUGUUCUCCUGCACCAAAUUUCAUUGCAGAAUGGGGUUGUCAUUAGCGGUUGAAGGAUUUGGUCUAGUUUCUUCUCUCCAUGGGCCUUUUAGCUGCCCCCCUGCCUCCCCCCUCCCCAUUCCCCCUACUGCCCCGUCUCUCUCUUCCCUCUUUAUUGUGCCGUGCUUGUGGUCUUCUGGUGGCUCUGUCUAUCCAGCUUUUCCUUCCAUUGCCAUGUUGACUGGCCUACUACUGUGGAUUUGAACUAUCUGCUCUUGCCUCCUUCUUCCUCUCGGGCCGGGGAUGUCUUUGUUGAUUGGAGGCUUUUGCAUUUGGUGGGCUCCCAUGGGUUACUCUACUUUUUUCUUUUGGCCCUUUCUCUCUUUAGGGUGACGGUUUACUGUUUUGCUACUCUCUAUUUCUUUCUACCUCGCCGGUUUGAGGCUUUUUAGUUGUAGCCAUGCAGCUCUCUUUUGUUUCUUGUUUUGCUUUGUUUCUCGGUUUGUGUAGUUUUCAUGUUUGCGGGGUAUGUCCCUGCAUUUUCUUGUAAACGCUUUGCACUUUUCUUCUUUAAUGAAUUUUUAUUUACAAAAAAAAAGUCGAGAUGGUGGGUCCGCCACUGUGAGCGGUUCUUCGAACUAUAUCGGGUUGGGGAAGAAGAGAAGGUGACGAUGGCAAUGGUGUAUCUCAACGACACUACGAACGCCUGGUACCAAAGCUAGAAGCAGGCCGAAGGGGGAAUAGUGUCUUGGGUGGCGUUUUCAGAAGAGCUGUGUAGCCGAUUUGGUGAGAGGAGCAUGGCCAACGUGGUGGAAGAGUUUAAUAAAUUGAGGCAAGAAGGGCUGGUGGAAGAUUACUUAAGGAAGUUUGAGGAAUUGAGGGCCUUGAUAGAGAUGGCCCAUCCGAGUUUGCUUGAGCCCAUAGUUCUAAAAGGCGAGAGGAGCAUCGAGGUGCAAAGGGUCCUGGAGCCUGAGGCGCGAGGCACACGAGGCGAGGCGUGCCUUUGCGAAGCAAGGCGCACCUUUUAGAAAAAAAACUCAAAAUUUUGUAAAAUCAUAAACAACUAUCAAAUUAUCAAUAAUAACACAUGCAUAUCAUUCAUGAUUCAUCAUCUUCAAAUUCUAAACUAACAACAUCAAAGUUGAUUCAUUCAUCAUGCAAAUUCUAAACUAAAAACAUCAUCAAAGUUCAAACUCAAAGUCUCAAAUUCAAACAAGUACCAAUUAUCAUGCAAAGUUCUAAACAAACACAUAAAUACUACAAGUCCACAAUCAAUAAAGAAAUUUUAAUCAAUCAUCAUCAAGAAGACCAUCAACAUCAAGGUCAAUAUCUUCAUCAUCCCCUUCAAUCACCCCUUCAUCUUUUUCUUCCUCUCCCAAUUCUUCUCCUUCUUCCAAGUCUUCAUCAUUUUCGGUCUCUGUCUCACUUUCCUCCUCCUCUUCAUCUCCUGAGUUACUCGCUGCUUUGAAGUCGAAGCCGAAGUUGAACCAGAUUGUGAUCGAGUUUGUUUAAUUCUAAAUCGAUAACUAGGCUCUCCAACUCCUGCAGCUGCAACGACAUUACUCCAUGUCAACCCAUCCCCAAUGUCAUCUGGAAAAAUAGUUUCAUCAUCUUUAUCAUUCUCCUCAUCAAGCUUUCCAGUCAACCAUUCAUUGCUUUCAUCAAUGUGGGUCAAUAUGAUAGGUUCAAUGGUAUCACACAUUUGAUACCGAUGCCUCAAUGCUCUAUUGUAUUUUACAAACACUAAGUCGUUUAACGAAGUUGAUCAAGCCUGCUUCUCCGUUUAGUAUGAAGCUGCAACAAUUUAUGCAAAAACAUACUAAGAAUAAGUUACAUGAAACAAACUAAUUGCUAAUAAAAAUUGUAAGUGUUAUUUGUACAAUGCACUUACAUUUUCAAACACACUCUAAUUACGUUCACACUCAGAUGAACUACAAGUCAAGUUAAGAAUUUUAAUUGCAAAAUUUUGCAAUGUGGGUGUUGACAUUCCAUAUUAAGCCCACCAUUCAACUGUCCAAUAAAAUUCAUGGGUUAAUUAUCAUCUAUUAUCUAGAAUGAUUAUAUAUAUAAUGUAAUAUAUAUAUGUGUAUACCUGGUGAUUUCUCAGUUCUCUUUCAAAUAGCCAUAUAGUUUCCAAAGAACCCAUUUGUCUUGUUAUACAUUGAAAACUUAGCAUCAAUUUGGUCUUGAACCUUUACUUCUGGAUUUAACUUUUUAAUGUAUUCAUAUAAGCCAGUCACGAUCUCUGGAUUUAUACGUUUAGCCUUAUAAAAAUAUUAUGGAUUCGAGUACCAACCAGCAGUGUGCAGGGGGCGAUGAAGCUAAAUAUCUCAUCGAUUAUCAAUGAUCUGAAAAAUGGGUGCAUACUUCUUUUCAUCCCUAUUAAAAGAGUUAGCAAUCGCUUCUUUGGCCCUAUCCAUGGCCUCAUAUAUGUAUCCCAUAGCCGGCUUCUUCUCACCAUCCACCAAGCGCAGUACACGCACCAAUGGACCGGCUACCUUUAAAGCAUAUACAACAUUGUUCCAAAAUGAAGGCAUCAAAAUCACUUCUACAACCUUUUUAGCCCCCGCUUCUUUUACCCACUUGCUUGUCAUCCACUCCUUAGAGGUAAACAUCCUUCUAAGGUUGCUUUUCAGACUAUGCAUCCUGCCUAAAGUGAUAAAGGCAGUUGCAAACUGUGUUUUUACAGGCCUCAACAACUCUUUCUAGUCAGUAAACCUUCUAAGCAUGUUUACUAGACCCAAACGAGUAUGGAUGUAGCUAUUCACCAUAACAACUCUCUUAAAUGUCUUAUUUAUAUUAGGUAACUUGAAAAUAUCUUCCAACAUUAAAUCCAAGCAAUGCGCUGCACAUGGUGUCCAAAACAACGUAGGAUAUUUUGCCUCCAAAAAUCUUCCCGAUAUUAUUUAGAGUGAAAUUAACAAGAUAUUAGUAAAUAAUAAAUAUCUAAUGAAUAUUCAAAUUGUUCUAUUUAUAAACAUAAUACAAAUUACAAAAAUAAAUUUCAUACCUGCUAAAACAUUGUUUGAAGCACUAUCGGUGAGCACUUGCACCACAUUUCUUACUUCAAUCUUUUCCACACAUUUACUUAAUAAUUGAAACAUCUUUUCCCCAGUCUUUGAAUAGCUGGAACCAUCAAUAGACUUCAAAAACAUACUUUCUUUAGGAUAAUUGACUAAAAAGUUAAUCAAUGUCCUUUCCCUCUUGUCUUUCUAGCCAUUUGACAAAAUGGAACAUCCAUAUUUGGCCCGCGCCUCUUCAUGAUCUUUCAUCAUUGUACGAGUGGCUUCCAUCUCUUAUUUGAGAAGGGGAACCUUGACUUCAUGGUAACUAGGCGGCUUCACACCCGGAUCAUACUGGCCAACUGCUUCUAUAAAGACUUUAAAACUGUUAUAUGUCAUUGCAUUGAAUGGAAUGCCUUCAUUAUACAUCCAUCGUGCAAAGCUUCUACAAACUUGAGCUCUUAACCCCUUUUUUUUGUAAAAUCAUUCUCACCCAACCUUGUUUGCCUUCCUUUGCUCUUGCUUUUCAACACAGUAACUUCUGGGUCUUUAAGAAAAACAUCAAGUGGACCCUUUUGUGCUGGCCCUUUAACACUACCAAUACUACUAGUACCACUUCCACUUUUGAUAGAUACAUUGUGUCUUUUUCUACUUUGUGGCGGGCCUGGUGGCUCCUCCUCCUUAUCAUACCCUUCACCAAAUUGACAAUCAUCAUCUAACGAUGCCAUAUUUCGCUCAUCCUUGUCAUCAUUCUUCUUCUUUUGCAUGUACUCUUCAAUCUCUUGUUUUACUGAUGGAGGACAUUUUGGACAAGUUUUAGUAUUCCUAAAACCACCCACAAGAUGUUGUUUCACCUGAAAUAUACCACAUUUUGUUACUUUACAACAAAAUUUACAUGUGAUGGUAUUUCUAUCAUUAGGAUCAACUUCAAAGUAAUUCCAUGCCAGAUCAGUUUUGGAAGUUGUUAACGACAUUGACUGGGCUAUUGCAACACAGUUCUAAUUUCCACAAAAUUCUCCAAUCAACAAGAAAACAACAACUGUAUAAAGAGAGAGCAACAAUGAGAAAUUAAGCAAGUAGGCAAGAAAUAAUCAAAUAAAACAAGAAAAGAACUCGUGAGAGCAGGCUGGAACCAAGAAUGGCAGCUGGUUUUGGUGGGCAGCGGGUUGCUUGACAGCUUGAAGAGCAGAGGAGAAGAGAUGAGAGGAAGAGAGGAGAAGACGAGAGAAGAAGAGAGUGAGCCGUGAGCUGCGAGCAUAGGAGAAGAGAGGAGAGGAGAGGAAGAGAGGAGGCGGGCGCAGCUUGAUAGCAACGAAAGGAAGAUCAAGCUGAUUGGUGGCUAACGCUAGAGAAGAUGGGAGUUUUCGGUGGCUGGACAGCUUGAGGAGGGUGUUUUCGACGACUCCCAUGGUGUUUCCAGCUGCUGGCUUAAAGGUUAAAAGGAAAGAGAGAAGAUGGGAAUGAUGUCAGGACUCGGGAGGAAGAUGGGAUGGGAGUGACGAGCCUCAACUUGUGCUGCCUAGGUUUUAAAUAAAACCUAGGUUUCUUGAGGUGCGUCUAGGCGAUCCUCACACCUCGGUGCCUUACUGUGUAAGGCAAGGGCCUCCUGGAAAACGUGUCGCCUCAGCCCAGUCGAGGCGCUAAACUGGCGCCUUAAGGCGCCUUUAACAUCUAUGCCUGAGCCUUACUUUGUGUUGAGUUUUAUUAACGGGUUGUGGGAUGAUCUACGAUUGGUGGUCAAGAUGCUAGGGCCAUUGUCGGUUAAACAAGCUGCAGAAAAGGCACAAUUGCAAGAAUUGACAUGGGAAGCUGUAUUCAAGAAGAACAAGGAGUGGACACAGCCUUGUUCGCAGCCUAGUCAAGGCCUAAACGCAGAGUCUGAGGGUAAUCUCAAGGCUGUAACAUGGGCAGCAGGUAAAGGAGAGGCUAAGAAUGCUACUGGUCCAGGGGCAAACAAGAAUCAAAUUAUGGAACAAAGGGGACAAUUGGGCCUAUGCUUCAAGUGUGGUGAGAAGUACAGUUUGGGGCACCAAUGUCAAAGGUUAUGCUGAGAAUGGAGGGUUCUCAUGAAGAGGGUGCGGAAGAAGAGGAACGGUUUGAAGAAGAAUAUGUUUCCCAUGAGAAAAUAGGUGAGUGCAGGGUGAUCAUCGGAGAAGAAUUACAACUGUAUUCUAUACAGCCUGAAGUCCUUGAAGGAAAGGCUGAUGUAGCAAAGGAACAACCAGAGGCAAACGUUGCUACACUUCUACUACUCAAAAGGGAAAAACAAACAGUAAGAAGAAGAGAAGGAGGCAGCAAGCAGUGAAAGCAGGGAUUGGUUGAACGUAGCCAUCACCGUAGAUUCUUAGGUAAAUUCUUGGGGACAAGAAUUUUCUUAAGAGGAGGGGAAUUGUUACGACCUCAGGGAUAGAAUUGUAAUAAGGGAAACUAUUGUAACCGUGGUAACAAGCUAGUGGUUAGAUAGUUAGAAUAGCCUAAACCAACCUUGGCUAGUAGUUAGCCUUAACUGAAAGAAGCGCCUUUGAAGAAGGCUAUUGUAGAAGGAGAAGGCAUCAUUGAGAAUAAUCAAAAUCCAUUUUCUCUCGCAUUUGUCUCAAUUCUUCUCUAUCUCUCUUGUUCUCUUCUCUUUCCCUCUCUCAUUCUCUUUCUUCCUAAGAUUUCUAUCUUUCUUUCGGAAUUCUUCUCGAAAUUCUGUCAAUUACCCAACUCUUAAUUGAAGGGCUUGACAUUUCAGAUUACUCAGCAUAAAUUGAAUGGAACCAACUUUAGAGAAUGGUCCCAAUAAGUUAUGCUGGUAGUUCGGGGAAAAGGGAAGGUUGGUUAAUUGACAAGAGCAAUUUCUAAGCCUAGCACAGAAUUAGCAACCUAUGGCGAUUGAGAGGUAGAGAAUGCCAUUGUCAUGGCUUGGUUGGUCAAUUCAAUGGAACCAAAAAUUGAAAGAAUCUACUUGUUCUACAUGACAGGCAAGGAAAUUUGGGAAGCUGUAUAAGAAAUAUAGUCAGACAUGGAGAACAUUGCUUAAUGUUUCCAAAUUCGGUCUACUAUUCGAACCACAAGGCAAGGUACUAAAUUUGUUAUUGAAUAUUACAAUACUCUAAUAGAAUUGUGGUAGGAGAUGAAACUAUUCUAUGAAAUCAUUUGGGAGUGUUUUGAAGAUGGAAGAAAAUAUGACAAGAUGAUAGAAAAUGAGAGAAUGUUUUAACUUUCUACAUGACCUCAAUUUUGAUCUAGAUGAAGUAAGAGGCAAAUUACUUGGAACAAAGCCUUUUCCAUCUAUAAAGGAAGCUUUUGUAGAAGUUAGGCGAGAAGAAAGCAAGAAGAAGGUGAUGCUAACUGCAUCAAGGCCUUCCAAUAACGAUGUAUAUACACAAACAUCAACCUUGGCUACUUCAUGGAUGAAAUCACCUAACACAUCUAGAGAAGAGUCCCAGAAGGAUAAACAGUGGUGUGAUCAUUGCAAUAAGCUUUACCAUACAAGGGAGACAUGUUGGAAAAUUCAUAGAAAACCAGCAAAUUGGAAGCCAAGGAAUCAAAGGAAGGGGAGUCAAUCUGACUAUGUGGUAGAGGCCGAAGCUGGAAAACCAACUAAUCUAACUCUAUUAGCAGAUUAGUUGGAAGUGUUACAUCUGUUGUUGAGCCAAACCAAGGUGAUUAAAUCUGAAGCUGCAGAUAAUCCUAAUCCGGUAGUAUGUAUGGCCAAACAAGGUACAUCUAGAUACUCCUUAAUCUCUCAUAAAUUCUCUACAGACUAUUAGAUAAUAGAUACAGUGGCUUCGAACCACAUGACUAGUUCACUUAAGAUGUUAUCAGGUUAUAAACCUUGUGAUUAAGGUAUUACUAUUUCUAUGGCUGAUGGUGGUACAACAUCUAUGGCUCAAGAAAAAGGAACAAUUUUUGUGGCAGGCUUAAUCCUAAAAUCAAUACUAUAUGUGCCUAAUUUAAAAUGUAACUUGCUAUUAGCAAGCAAACUAACUAGAGAAAUGAGUUGUUUGAUAACAUUUUUCCUAUCUUAUUGUGAAUUUCAGGACCUAUCUUCAGGGAAGAUGAUUGGCAGUGCUAAGGAGAAAGUAGGUCUCUAUCAUAUUCCAAGACUUGGUCAUUCUCUUGGAUCUAGUUGUUAGCUUUGAAAUGUGGCACCUGCAGUUGGUUACUGGAAUAGUUAUAGUGGUAUCUUCAUGCCGAUACUUGCUAUUAAAGACAUGGCCAGACUUUGCAGAGUCUACUGAAGCAGCAAAUAGGCAGGUUCUUACUUC